rnacentral:rRNA from 1 species
AGAAUCAACGCUGGCGGCGUGCCUCAGACAUGCAAGUCGAACGCGAAAGUCCCCUUCGGGGAUGAUUAGAGUGGCGCACGGGUGAGUAACACGUAGGUAAUCUACCUUCGAGUGGGGAAUAACUCAGGGAAACUUGAGCUAAUACCGCAUAAUGCAGCGGCACCACAUGGUGACAGUUGUUAAAGCAUUUAUGCGCUUGAAGAGGAGCCUGCGGCAGAUUAGCUAGUUGGUAAGGUAAUGGCUUACCAAGGCUACGAUCU